rnacentral:tRNA from 1 species
GAAAAAUUAGUUAAAUAAAUAUAACAUUAGUUUGUCAAACUAAAAUUAUUAAUUAAUUAAUAUUUUUCU